CGCCAUUUUGACUAUAUAUAGAGUCUCGUUUUCAUGUGACAUUAGUUAUACCUUCAACAUCAUAGAGAUUAUAAAUAACACUAGAGGGGGCAUCGUAAUUUGAAUUCAGUCAAAGAAAGGGAACGCGGCUAUUUGGGGGCAAAAAAUUAAAAUGCUAACUGAGAGCGAGUUAAAAUCUUUAAAUUCUUGUAUUUUUAACUCAAUUUUGUCCAUAACACAUUUUUG